rnacentral:rRNA from 1 species
UACGGAAUGUGCAAACGUUAUUCGGAAUCACUGGGCUUAAAGAGUCCGUAGGCGGCUUGUUAGGUGAGGUGUGAAAUCCCUCGGCCCAACCGAGGAAUUGCGCUUCAAACCGGCAAGCUUGAGGAGGAUAGAGGUGGGCGGAACUGAUGGUGGAGCGGUGAGAUGCGCAGAUAUCAGGAGGAACACCGGUGGCGAAGGCGGAUCUCUGGGCCUUACCUGACGCUGAGGCGCGAAAGCUAGGGGAGCAAACAGG